rnacentral:rRNA from 1 species
UACGUAGGUGGCAAGCGUUGUCCGGAAUUAUUGGGCGUAAAGCGCGCGCAGGCGGUCCUUUAAGUCUGAUGUGAAAGCCCACGGCUCAACCGUGGAGGGUCAUUGGAAACUGGGGGACUUGAGUGCAGGAGAGAAGAGUGGAAUUCCACGUGUAGCGGUGAAAUGCGUAGAGAUGUGGAGGAACACCAGUGGCGAAGGCGGUCUGCUGGGCGAGUUGCUGACACUGGAGCGCGACAGCGUGGGAGCAACAGG